CAGGAUCCGCUUCAAAAUCUUCUAUCAAAUGUUGAAAUCGUUUCUAUGAUGAGUCACUUUCGAAGAUUAACAAAAACGUCACGCGUCUAUUCUCUGUCCAACGAGUCGAGCCGGAAACUGUAAAUAAAACCAUGUGAUCAAAAUCUAGAGAAAAAUGAUAUAGCGUACAAUAUUUGGAAUUUUGAGAUAUUAGAAAAUAGAAAGUUACACUAACCUCUUAAAUGAGAAAAUUGAGUGUAUAUACUAAGUUAGAUUGAGCAACAUUGUCGCUAAAAAACAAUUACAUUAAAUUUAUCAAUUCAGUUUAAAAAUAUACCUUAUUAUACUUGUAAUAAUUUACCUUCCCUUAUUCAACUCAGUGAUUCAUUGCUGUAUCAUAUUUAUGAUCUAUACCAUCCUUUCUGCUCGUAAAUCAUGUUUGAGGUUACGAAGAAAUGGUGGAUAGAUUAAGAGACAGUUUACACGUAUUUAUGCAGGAAUAAUGACUAAUGUAGUCGAGUAAACAACAUAAAGAGAGAUAAAGGGAAACGUUUGGUGUUAUACAUACCGUAUGUUAUUGCUGAAAACAUCACAUCGAAGAUUAUCGAUCGUGAAUAUUAGAAAAUCGAUCGAAACCCACCGGAUUCUGCAACUGCGAAACAAUAAGCUUGACAACGUUGCAUGGAAUUGGUGGUAUUGUUUCACACGUAAGAUCGAAUAAUAUUCAAUAUUCACCACAAUUUUUUUUUAUUAUUCCAAUAUCGUACAAGUUAUCUGUCAAAAGCAAUCAGUGUUGCAAGCCGCUCUGUAUUGCAUAUGGUAUUGCAUGAAUACGAGAAUCGAUACAUCGACCUUACAUCCUUUGCUAGUUAUCGAUUAAUAGCAGUGGGAAAUCGAAUAUCGAGUAACUUACAGAAGCAUCAUACGAUAGCCAUCUUAACUUUUUCGAUCUAGUUUAUCGCGUAGUUUCUAGAUUACGACUAGUUGGGUUUAGUUAAUCGAUAGAUAAUUAAUAGGUAUUGAUAAGUGAUAAAGGGAAACGUAAAAAGUGACAUUUUGUAGUGAAUUACUUGUACAUAAAGCUAUAAUAGAAUAUGCGUUCGAGUAGUUUUGACGUGCGCGCGCGUUCCCUCGAGAGAGACCAAGAGAACCAAGUUCGAGCAGUCGUCUCGUGGAAAAAGUGACCAUUUAAUAACUCAGGAUCGAAUUAUGAUAUCAAGGUGGUGUUUUAAUGGCCGAGUGGCGCUUACCAUCGUCGGUGAUUCGUCAAGCAUGCAUUCACCUUGUAGACACCCGGUAGACGAGCAACUACCCACCACAUCGCCGGUUUAAUCGACAACGAGAGAGUUAAUUCACGUCUGGUUCGAUGAACUUCUGUCAAUCGAACGCUGUCAUCUGAAUACUCGGAAUGCGAAGUCCUGGUUUUGCGGAGUUUCACGGGCUGAGAGUCGCAGAGGACCGGAGGAGUUUAUUGAAUAAAUCAAGGUCAAGCGAAUGAGAGAGCGACGAGGAGGGCCGAGGCAUCGGCCGGGAUUCUGUCGUGGCGCAGAAAAAUCAAAUUAAACAGCCGCUUUUAAGUCGAAUUAAAACGAAUGCGCUUAAUUAAAGCGGCCUGUGCCGCUCAACUAAAGGAGUUUUAUUGACGGCGACCGAGUCUCCUUUGUCGGUGCUACCGUGUACCCUUUCAUUAUUACGUUAAAAGAUGGCCACGACUUUUUGGUUUUGCAGCAAAUAACGCUCUAUUUUUCUCUCCGUUACAGACAGCCCGGUUUUUUCCGAUUUUUCAACCCGACUUCUCUGUUUUUCAAUGUUUCCUUUCUUUGUGAUUUCCAGACGCGUUUCAGGAUCCAGCUUCUUCGUAGCCGUGUUUUUGCUCCUCUCAUUCUUACGGCUACGUGAAUCGGAGAUUUUUUGGAAGCGGCAGCAUGGUGAAAAAGAGACGAGCGUGUGAAAUUAAUUUACUGUUUUCAUCGUUUCUCUUUGUUAAUUGGAUUAGAGCGAAAAAAGCGAUAGCCCUUUAACAUAUUUGCUGGCGUUCGCGUAUACGUUAGGUCUGUGUAGUUUUAUGGAAAUUCAUAUUUUCAUAAACCCAAUGGAAAAUCUGCAAUCUAAUGGUAGGUAGGACGUUAUUUCAAUGUUAUACAAGUAGCUACUGUAUCUUCGUUAUUCUCUAUAUUUUCACUUGCCAUGCGCAUUUUCCAAUUUUUCAUCUUCUAUAAACGCGUAAAGAUCAGCCAUACGCGUUAAACGAAAAGCUCGUAACGAAGGUGAAGAAGAAAUGUUUUUACUAUCGCGAUGCAUCAAAAUCCGCGAAGCAAAUGUUUAAAUAAAGCAGCUAACACAGUUUGCGCAUUAUAGUUUUCCAUAUAGCGCAGCGCAGUUUCUGAACGAUUUAUUUUAAAUUCCAUCUUAUUUUAUUACACUGCCGAAGGGUUAGAUGAUAAAAUAAUUCGUUUCAUCGUGGCUGUAACGAUGCUCGUGGCCCAUGGUUUAUCGGUCAGAAAAAUGUGCAGACCCGUGACAAAAGGAGUCAUAACGGAACCGCGUUCGCAAGCCAAAGACGAGCACGUUAACGGUGUCUGAGGUUUCACCGCGCUAAAUACACACUUUUUCCCUCUCACUCGUCGCGUUAACGUCGAACCAACCGCGGACGACGACUCUUUUUCUUUUCUCUUACUCGACGAUGCUGUCCGCCGUGAAAAGAAGCAGCUACUCCAUCGUAGCGAUAAAGACGAGAAAGCAAAGAAAAAGCCGCGGUUCUCGUUGCAGAGAAAAUCCGAAGAGGAUCGACGUAGAAGAUGAAUAGAAGGCGAGAAGCAGAGGUUCUCCCUUGAAACAGGGGGACAAUCUUCCCCUGUUCAUUGUGAGAAUUUCUAAUUGUUCGCCAAUGUUCCGGAUAUGGUAAGGGAAUUUUUCUCUGGGAAAAUGGCACGUGGCAUUAUCGGUUACCAUAUAGCGUAUGGAUUAUCGAGAAAUUAUAACUUUUUUAAGAAAUUUAACAGUUGAAGAGCGUUUUUAUUGGGUUGGCAACUAAGUGAUUGCGGGUUUUGUCAGUACCACCUAAUGACAAAAUCCGCAAUCACUUAGUUGCCAAUAGAAAUGAAAUUAUGUAAAUCAUUGGCGACAUUAUGUAAUGUUAUAGGUUUGAUAAUAAUAGCAUCGGUAUUAGCAAUAUUAAUAGCUGUUAGUAAUAGGAUGACGUAUUUUAAUAGUAUAAUUGAUAUUAAAAAUAGGGUAAGGGGAUUUUUCUUUCGGCAGGGUGGAUGCGACUAAUUAAGAAAUUUAAUAGUUGAAGAUGCGUAAGUGUCUGGUGUUCUUAUCGUGGUUGGCAACUAAGUGAUUGCGGAUUUUGUCAAUACCAUCUAAUGACAAAAUCCGCAAUCACUUAGUUGCCAAUAGAAACGAAAUUAUGUAAAUCAUAUUAUGUAAUGUUAUAGGUUUGAUAAUAAUAGCAUCGGUAUUAGCAAUAUUAAUAGCUGUUAGUAAUAGGAUGAUGUACUUUAACAGUAUAAUUGAUAUUAAAAAUAGGGUAAGGGGAUUUUUCUGUCGGUAUGGUGGAUGCGACUUUUUGUUAGAGAAUUGUGUACGUAUCGUGAAAAAAUUGCAGGUUUUCUAGGAAAUUGGGUGAUUUAAGCGUAACGUACAAAUCAUGCUUUUAGAAAUGAAAUUAUGUAAUUAUUAGUAAUUGUGUAAUUAUUGCAGGUAAUAGUGUAAUUACUAGUAAUUACAUAAUUAUGCAGGUAAUUGCGUAAUUAGUAGCGUCAUAUCAUAAUGAUAUUUCAAUGAUGUACUAUUAAAACGAUGCCUGUAAGUUAAAGAAGAACUAAAUAUUAAGAAAAACAUAAGAA